rnacentral:rRNA from 1 species
AAUUCGYCCKWUAAUUGUGGGCUAGAAUGAACGGGACWAACGAAAGAUCAGCUGUCUCUAAUCUAACUAUAAAARUUGACCUACAGGUGAAGAGACCKGUAUUCAAAUAAAGGACAAGAAGACCCCGUAGAGCUCUGCCUUCAAUUAAAUACUGAUAACAMUUAAUAGCUAAUUGAUUACUUCUUUAAUUUAGGSUUGGCUGGRGCGGCCARGGAGAASUUAAUCMUCCAUUUCCAUCYUAUUUUGCUUUUUCARGAAUMUUUUCCGCUACAUAAACWGACCCUUUUAAGAUCAUAAAAAUAAGCUACCUCGGGGAUAACAGAUUAAUCCUUCUAGAGAGCUCACAUUGACMGAAGGGAUUGACACCUCGAUGUUGGCUUAGGGUAUCCUAUAAACAGCAGCAAUUUAUAAGGGUAGGUUUGUUCAACCUUUAAAACCCUACGUGAU